UUUGUGGAGAGCAACUGAUAGCAAACUUGUUGAAGAUUCUCAUAUGGAGUCAUGUCUACCUUUGACGGGUAAAUUAUUCAACCAAUUAGAUAAAUUUUCGUUUCUAAUAUUCUUCGUUGUUAACAAUAUUAACUCAAUCAUUUAGGCACACUAUACCGGGAGAAACAUGACCUUGUGGCAUAAACAUCGAAGAAGACUAAAAUAACUCAAGCUAAGGACAAACAUGUAGCUAAGGCAAAGAAGGCGAAGAAAAUGAAGUCUAAUAACUUAAAAGACAAGAUACAAAGCUAGCAUAUCUGAUUCAUCCCACCAACUUACUGAAGUGGUUGUCGAGCAUAAUAAAGGCAAAGGAGUCCCACAAACACCAACACUCAAGUCAAGGAGUGGCAGAACAAUCAAGCGAAGAAUAUUGGACUAAUGAAGUGAGAUUUUAUGAGACUUUGAAGCAACUUCUGUAUGUACUUUGACUUUUGCCUCUAUUACACCGUGUCGGUCACAUUCUACUA